UCGCCGCCACGCUGGUGACGAUGCUUGCGGAUAAGGCCGGCCCUGAAGCAGCGUCGAACAGAUCGCAUGCAGUCUGGCCGAUUUGCUCGAACAGGACGCUUGAGUUCGUGAGGAACGACCCU
rnacentral:ribozyme from 1 species